rnacentral:rRNA from 1 species
GAUGAACGCUGGCGGCGUGCCUAAUACAUGCAAGUCGAGCGAACGGACGAGAAGCUUGCUUCUCUGAUGUUAGCGGCGGACGGGUGAGUAACACGUGGAUAACCUACCUAUAAGACUGGGAUAACUUCGGGAAACCGGAGCUAAUACCGGAUAAUAUUUUGAACCGCAUGGUUCAAAAGUGAAAGACGGUCUUGCUGUCACUUAUAGAUGGAUCCGCGCUUCAUUAGCUAGUUGGUAAGGUAACGGCUUACCAAGGCAACGAUGCAUAGCCGACCUGAGAGGGUGAUCGGCCACACUGGAACUGAGACACGGUCCAGACUCCUACGGGAGGCAGCAGUAGGGAAUCUUCCGCAAUGGGCGAAAGCCUGACGGAGCAACGCCGCGUGAGUGAUGAAGGUCUUCGGAUCGUAAAACUCUGUUAUUAGGGAAGAACAUAUGUGUAAGUAACUGUGCACAUCUUGACGGUACCUAAUCAGAAAGCCACGGCUAACUACGUGCCAGCAGCCGCGGUAAUACGUAGGUGGCAAGCGUUAUCCGGAAUUAUUGGGCGUAAAGCGCGCGUAGGCGGUUUUUUAAGUCUGAUGUGAAAGCCCACGGCUCAACCGUGGAGGGUCAUUGGAAACUGGAAAACUUGAGUGCAGAAGAGGAAAGUGGAAUUCCAUGUGUAGCGGUGAAAUGCGCAGAGAUAUGGAGGAACACCAGUGGCGAAGGCGACUUUCUGGUCUGUAACUGACGCUGAUGUGCGAAAGCGUGGGGAUCAAACAGGAUUAGAUACCCUGGUAGUCCACGCCGUAAACGAUGAGUGCUAAGUGUUAGGGGGUUUCCGCCCCUUAGUGCUGCAGCUAACGCAUUAAGCACUCCGCCUGGGGAGUACGACCGCAAGGUUGAAACUCAAAGGAAUUGACGGGGACCCGCACAAGCGGUGGAGCAUGUGGUUUAAUUCGAAGCAACGCGAAGAACCUUACCAAAUCUUGACAUCCUUUGACAACUCUAGAGAUAGAGCCUUCCCCUUCGGGGGACAAAGUGACAGGUGGUGCAUGGUUGUCGUCAGCUCGUGUCGUGAGAUGUUGGGUUAAGUCCCGCAACGAGCGCAACCCUUAAGCUUAGUUGCCAUCAUUAAGUUGGGCACUCUAAGUUGACUGCCGGUGACAAACCGGAGGAAGGUGGGGAUGACGUCAAAUCAUCAUGCCCCUUAUGAUUUGGGCUACACACGUGCUACAAUGGACAAUACAAAGGGCAGCGAAACCGCGAGGUCAAGCAAAUCCCAUAAAGUUGUUCUCAGUUCGGAUUGUAGUCUGCAACUCGACUACAUGAAGCUGGAAUCGCUAGUAAUCGUAGAUCAGCAUGCUACGGUGAAUACGUUCCCGGGUCU